GAUUUGACGAAAGCUUCUCAGUUCGACAGAGUAUCCCAAUGCAUUGUGUUAAAGUGUUACUAGUAAUUCAAUGUAGAUGCAUCGGAUAAUCAAUUUCCGAAAGGCAUAACGCAAACGAAAUUCAAACAAAACCAGCAAAAAAAUGAAACCGUUCAAACCGAUUAUCAUCUUCAUGAUUUUAUCAUUCUGCAUCAAUGUGCAUGCAGCAAAUAUUCAAGCCAAGAAUGAAGCUACAAAUGAAAAUGACACAAAAAGUCACACCGUCGAUUCGAAUUAUAUUCCCUCGUUUACCAAGAUUCCAUCAGCCCCCAUCGAACUCAAUGAAACAUACGACCAAUUCAAUACAGCAAUAGCCGAACUUGAGGCAAACACGAAUUUAAAUGAUGGAACAAGUAUUAUAUUUGAUCUCGCUCUAGAUAAUGAUGCCACAUCUAACAUACAAAAUACAUUUAUCUUAGAGCAGGUCAAUAACACCGCAUACAUAAAGCUGGGAGGCAAACUUGACUAUGAAAAGGUGCAAGAAUAUAGAAUCACGGUACGAGCAAUGAAUGUAAAGGGCUUGAAGGCAGAAGCAGUGGUUCUAAUCAAGAUCCUGGACGAGAACGAUAAUAUUCCAGAGAUCACAGGAAACCUUAAUGGAGUUAUACUGGAGCACGAGCCAGCAGGCACGUUCGUGAUGCAAGUAAAGGCACAUGAUAAUGACGGGACAUCGGCCCACAACAUCGUAUCAUACCGGCUCGAAGGAACUGCUCGACAGUAUUUCCACAUUGACAGUAAAACUGGCAACAUUACGUCAUUGGUGGAGUUCGAUCGUGAGGCGAAGGAUAUUUAUCCUGUAACUGUGGUUGCCGAAGAUAACUCACCGUCCGUGCUGUUCAAUAAUGGAAAGCCAAACAGUGCGGUAAAACAGUUGUUCAUAAGAGUUUUGGACAAAAACGAUCAUCCACCACAGUUCGAUGAACAAUAUUACGAGGUGAACAAUAUACCAGAAGACGCUGACAUCAAUACAAGUGUUAUCAAGGUGAAGGCAACGGAUCUGGACAAAGAUCCCAAGAUUAAAUACAGCAUAAUAGAGAAUAACAUUGGAAAGGCGUUUAAGAUCGAUGAGGACACCGGUCUUAUUUCAGUUAACAAAAAGCUCGACUAUGAAUCGAUUCAAGAAUACGAUUUAGUCGUGCAGGCCCAUGACGGACUUUUCAAAAGCACAACCAACGUACGGAUUCAAAUAAAAAAUCUGAAUGACAUUGCACCGCAAAUUUUGACCUUAACAAACGUCACGAUCAAGGAAAACACCAUUCCUUUGGAUUGUAUUGCAAAUUUGUGGGCCUAUGAUCCAGACAUCGAGAAUUUCGAGUACCCACAAAACAUACAAUAUGCACUUCCAAAAGAACACCAGCACCUCUUAAGCAUCGACGACAAAGGAUGUCUUAAACUGCUCCACCCUCUUGAUCGUGAUCCUCCACAUGGGCAAGAAGUGUUACAAAUCAAUGUUACCAUUACAGAUGAAAACGGUAAGGGAAGAACGGCGAUGGAAACAGUUUACAUCUUCGUUGAAGACAUUAACGACAACGCGCCCCAGCUUACCAAUAGAAUGCCAGUUGUGUGGAGCGAGAACCGCCCUUCAGCCAUGAUCACGAAGCUGACUGCAGAAGACGCUGAUGGAGAGCACAAUGGACCGCCAUUCUUCUACAGCGUCGAUCCCGACGCCCCAACCGAGAUUAAAAAUCGCUUCCAGACUGUAGGUGAUGAGCUGUAUUCAUUGGCGGACUUUGAUCGCGAGCAGCAGAAACAAUACGUGGUACCGAUACUGAUUCGAGACUCGGGUCACAAACCGAUGAGCGCCGUCAGCAAACUGUUGGUGGUGAUUGGUGACAAAAAUGACAACGAAAUGCAAAUGGGCCAGAGCCACAUUCUCGUCAACAAUUACGAAGGUAAGUUUGCAGAUACGCAGAUCGGUCGAGUGUAUGUCAGCGAUCCAGAUGAUUGGGAUGUAUCAGAUAAGAUGUUCCUUUGGGAUGAGAUGACGCCCGAGACGAAUAGGAAGCUCUUCAAACUCAACAUCAACACCGGUAUGAUCACGAUGAUAAAAGGCACACCCGAAGGAAUAUACAAUCUAGAAUUUACAUUGAUUGAAGAAUCAUCCUAUUUUCCACGGCACAACGUAUCUGCUCGAGUUACGGUGACAGUGAAGAACAUUUCGGCGAAAACGGUCAACCAGAGUGGAUCGAUUCGCUUCUACAAUGUAACGGCUGAGACAUUCAUAUCUCAGACACUGAGUGAGCUCAACACACCCAUGUAUCGACUUCAGCAAAGCAUUGCAAGCAUUCUGGAUACCAGCCCAGAUCAGGUGGACAUAUUCACGAUCAACAAUCGUAAGCUUACACGGGGUGCAUUCUUAGACGUGUUCUUUGCAGUAGAUGAUACUAUUUACACAUCGUCAGAGGUCUUAAAUGCAGUGUUAAGUUUGCAUCUACGCCAAUUGGAGGAAGACGUCGGGUAUCGGAUUGUGACGGUUGGUAUCGAUGAGUGCAUCGAGAAAGGACAUACAUGUACACAGACAUGCAAGAACAAGGUCCUUAAAACAGCAAAACCAAUCGUAGUGCACACCAACACUAGCUCGUUUGUGGGAAUGACCACCUUGGUGCAAGCAGAGUGCAUCCCACAGAUAGAAUCUUCGUUGGUAGCAUGCUUCAACGGUGGUACUUUCCAGAAUGGUAAAUGUAAAUGUCCCAUGGGAUUCAAAGGUCCGCAGUGUGAGAAAUUGGACAUCUGUUUUGAUGGAAGUGGGUAUGCAAUCUAUCCAUCGAUCAACAGUGGAAACGUUAACAACAUCAGCAUUGAGUUAUUGCCCCGACAAAAAGACGGGUUGGUAUUCUACAUGGGUCCUCUGAAGUAUGACCCAUCUUUGAAGGCACCACCUUUUCUGGCAUUGGAAAUCAACGAUGGUAUGUUGGUCCUACUAUUGGACUAUGGAACUGGGACGAGCCGUUUCGAGCAUCAACAAAUAGUUUUACACGAGAUUAUUAAAGCUCAGGUUAUUUUACAGCCAUAUAGGAUUGAGAUAAAAACGGUGAACAAUAAGAUGGUGAGCAGUAGGAGUCAUUAUGAAAAUAAGGAUUGGAGUGGGUUUCUUCCAGGUAAUGUGUCUUUUCAACUAGGAGUUUCAUCAAUUAGUCUCGAUAAGCUGGGAUCGCUAUACAGCUGGAAAUAUGUACCAUUUACGAAGAGUUUCGAUGGUUGUCUACGCAAUCUUACAAUAAACGGGCGCACGAUAGACCUUACCCAAACGAGUCACAAACAUAAUGUUUUAUUCAAUUCGCAAGGAUUCACAGCAAUAGGAAAACAAAAGUUUUUGGUAUGGAUUGUAAUUUUAAGUUUAGCGAUAAUGGCGAUGUCGAUACUAAUCGCUAUACGAUUAAAGGACUACUUAAAAACAUGGAUUAAGAUAUUAAUCAGAAAACUGCAAACAGAAUCAAUGAACAUGAUGGUAGAAUUGCAUCCUGCACCUGAACAAUUACCAUCUUUUACCGAAGUCGAUGAAAGAAGUGUCGGAUUAUUGAGUGGUAUGUCAACUCCUUAAAUCAAUUUUGAUAUUUUUUAGUGGUUGUAUAAUCUCGUGGUUAGAGUAGCAAUAUCUUUUAAUUUUAUAGUAUAACAAUGACCGUUCGACAUCAUAGGACAGAGAGACAGAAAAUAUGUUGAACAAAAUAUUAGAUCAUCAAAGGAUAAUCAUUUUAGCUAGUUCAUACUAAUUUUAAGAUAAUUAUCUUGUAACAAUAAUACUUUUAACUUUUUAUAUGCAGAACUAUAAAUCAAAAAUAAAGGGUUGGUAGGUUAAGAGUAUACAGAUCUCGGUCCAAUGCUCUUUUCCAUACACCUUCCCAUUUUUUUGAAGUUCUUACAUUUCUCAACCGAUAAUCUCUCUCAGGCUAGUUUAGCAAUCUCGCAUUCUGGUGCUACCUCAAUAAAUUCGUAACAUAAAUGAAUUAACAAAAUAUUGAAUUCUAUAAGCAAUUAUACAAUCUAACAGUAACAGUACAACCUUUGAAAGAGAUCUUAUUCGGUAACUGCUUGUCGUGUAUAAAUACUAGUUGAAAACCCACGUUACCAGUAAGAAACCCACUCCAUUUCUUCAUUUCGUAACGAUUUUCUUAAACAACCAAUGAUAAUAACAACAUUGUUAUUGUAUCACGCACCCACCAAGGACGCUACGUCACACACAAGUUCACACUGUCAGAUAAAACGCUGGAGUAAAAUCAUAACAACUAAUCAUUGGAUUUCUUCUUGGGUCAUCAUGAUCAUGUCAUGUUUAUGCACGUUGCUGAAAUAAAAUUAAUUUAACAUUUUUCUUAUAUUUUUCAGCAAACAACCCCAUGGCGAUUACCAUCAAGGCAUAUACUAGUAGCAAUCAAUUUUACUACAAAUAUUAUUUAUUACUAUUUUUUCAGGAUCUUCUACUUGAAUUUCUGCUUCUACUACUGGUGGAUACAUGCCUCCGUCCAUAAGCUCAAGCCUCCGAGCUGUGUCAAAUCAGUCGUAAAUCAGUCACCCAAACGAGAUUGAUGUCCAAAAGAUGCAUGGUAUUAAGGGGUCAUGUACGAAUGAAGAAACAUAAAUAAGGUAUUUUUUAUCAUUUUUGGUGUUUUGGGCGACCCCGUGGUAAAGUUCAACUCGAGUGACUCAAAAUCAUGCACGUUAUUGGUUCAAGCCUUGAAUGGACCGUCCCCCCCCCUAGCAAGGACUGACUAUCUGGCUGCGUGGAACCCGAAUAAGUCUCGAAAGCCGUUUACAGGCAGGCAUGUGCGUGUAGGAAGUUAUGCGAAAAAGAAGAAGAAAGUGAUUAAAAAUUAAAUUAUAUAUUUUUUUUUCUCAGGGUUUUGCAAGUCAUAAUUAAAUGUGGGGCGGUCCCGUAGUACAUGGGUUCAAGUCUAGAAUGGACCGUCCCCCCGUAGCAAGGAUUAACUAUCCGGCUGCGUGGCAAUGAAUUAAGUCUCGAAAGCCUGUAUAGACCGGCAUGUCCGUGUAGGACGUUACGCCAAAUAGAAGAAGAAAUUUCUGUUUUCACUGCCAGUGCAUUUUCACAAGCUCUAAAUUCACUCUGGCUGUUAAACGUUGAUUUUUUCGCCAUACCUUAGCUAUUUUAACAGGUUCUAUAUGAUUUAUCAAAUGGUCUGGAUUCGUUUUUGUUAUAUUUAAACACGGUCUGUGGUUGAUAAUAUUGUUUAUGCAUUUGAUCGUGAUACUAAACAAUAUAUUUCAAAAAUAAUAUUAUUUUAUGGAAAAAGGACUGAGCACUUGCUCAAGAAAAUAAUUUUGAAAAUUCAUUUUGCGUCUGUAUAGCUACGCUGCGAUGAAAAAAUAAACGUUUUACAGUCGGAGUGAAUCUGGAGCUAGUGAAAAUGGUUUGAUAACAUUUAAUUCUGACUUGUAAACCCUGUAAUACAGGAAGGUUACUCUCCUAUUGAACUUCGAUUGUAUGAUUCUACGGAGGGCGAGCGUUACAGAACGUAUGACCCCUAAGACUUGCAUUUAACAGAUAUACCUACAUUCUAAAGAUAGAAAUUAAUGAUUAAGGUUUUUUAUCACUUGGCAAAACCAUAUUUUUGAUAAGGUACUAUAUUUGAUCGUUUCAUAAUAUAAUGAAGAUUUUAGCUGAAUGUUGAAAAGUUUGAAACAGCAUUGCAUGCACAAAAAUGCAAUGUAAUGCAAUUGAACAGAAUUAUUAUGAAUAUUUCAUAGUCUUUUACAAUAAGUUUUUUUUUCCUAUGGAAAAGAAGUAAUCAAAAGUGUUGAUUAAACAGCACAUGAACACAAUGAACAUGUGUAUGCACGUUGAACGUCUGAAUAAGAAAAUAGUUGACAAUGUAUUUCUACAAUGAUCAUGUAUACACUCUCAAUAUUUUUAAAAUAACAUUCGAUUUGAUACUAAAAACUGGUUGAGGUACUUUAUAUAUUAUUCUGUACGACGAAAAUGAGCCAGAAUAAUCUUGUGCAGCUUCUACAGGCUUUGCUUUAACCCCCUCUGCCUUACAAACAACUUAAUAUUGUAACAUUAAUAACUUAAUAAUGAUGAUGUUUUUUGUUGUUAAUUAACUUUAAAGUUAGCUUUGAAACAAGAUAAAAUUAACAGUGAGAGUCUUCAUAGAUUCGAGACACGCGCGCGUAUUGUGAACU